rnacentral:rRNA from 1 species
GACGAACCGUGCGAACGUUAUUCGGAAUCACUGGGCUUAAAGCGCGUGUAGGCGGCUGGGAACGUCGGCCUUUGAAAUCCCCCGGCUCAACCGGGGAAGUGGAGCCGAAACGACCCGUCUGGAGGGACGUAGGGGGACCUGGAACUUCCGGUGGAGCGGUGAAAUGCGUUGAGAUCGGAAGGAACGCCCGUGGCGAAAGCGAGGUCCUGGACGUCUGCUGACGCUGAGACGCGAAAGCCAGGGGAGCGAACGGG